UUUUAGGAGGUUAGAAGCAAAGCUGGUGUUGUUUUUGAUUUUUCAGAUAUUAUUUUCUUUUAAUCAAAACCAAAAGUAGGAUCACAAGAAUGUGCCUCUGACUGUACAGGAAUGGACUAACAACUCUGGUCAUGGGAGAAGUGGAUUUAUUUCAAGAUACAGUGAACAACAUUUCACCUGCUGAAGGAAAUUAAGACAGUAACUUUUUCUUGCUGCAAAACCAUUCUGAAAUUCUCUGGAGAAAACAGGAUACUUUUCCUUUCCUGCACUCACUCAAAAAGAACAACCCCAACAAAGUACUGCAGAAACUGCAGAAGGUCAUGUGUGUUAACUGUGCAGAGUACUGGGUGGCCUAAAUACAUCUUGAGCAUCUCUGGAUACAUCUUCUGUCAUUACUCCUAAACUUCACUGUGCAGUCAGACUGCACAUACACCACUGUAUGAGGUAUGUUUUCAAGAUUUUCACAAGUACAUGGGGAAAGUAAUUUUCCCUGUGGUUAUAUGCAACUGCAUCUA